GCAGAUUCUGAAGAUAGAAAAAACUGUCGCGAUACCUGGAGUUUGCGGGCUCCUUGUGACAGAGCGAGGGCGCGCGGAGGGAGCAAGCGGAGGCGUGUGCGUGAGGCCGCCUGCAGUAGACUGUGCCGGGGAACUUGUUUUUCAAAAACGUAGAUUACCAAGAGAACUGUAGCUUUCUGGGCGUCACUCCAGACUUACUAAAUCACACUGUGGAGUUGGUUGGGGAACAUGAAGAUGGCGGGGCUGGAGGAGACGUUUGGAUUUGAUGAUGGCAAUUAGCAUUUUUUGUGCAACAAGUCUCUCUCAUGCGGUGUCUCAUUUAAUCAUCACAGAUAAACCUGUGAGAGAGCCUACUGUGUGCCGGGCACUGAGCAUAGCGAGAUGAAAAACCAGCCUGCCCGCAAGGACUCCAGAGGUCUACUGCAGCCCAUGAGAAGGACACACUUUGGAUCCUGUCUCCACGGUUUGAAACGAAGAAAAAGCAACUGCGCAAACAAGCUCAGACUAGCGGAGGAGACAAGAACAGCGCCUGCCAGACGAGGCAUCAAGAGAGAUAUCAAGGGCAGACACUGGAAGAGACUUCUGAGCUUGGCUGAGUCCAGCAUCUGCCUUCUACAGAUGAGGAAACUGAGGCCCAGAAAUGAAGGCAUUUUGGCUGUGGUGCUGAUCAUGGGCUUCUUCCAGAAAUUUGUGACAGGUGGCAUCUCUGAGAAUGAAUGGAAAAGACUGUGCUCCAGACCAAAGCUGUAAGCAGUAGCUACUCUGUCCACAACCUCCAUCUGGGAAAAAUCACUUAGACAAAGGAUCUUUUAUGGAGAAGAUAAUCUACUUCCAUUGGCAGCCCUUGAUGAGCAAGCCACCAGGUGGAACCAGUAAAACGUGAAGGACUGAAGCCGAUUGGUCAAGAGAUGGACGCCUUAUUCGAAGGGAGUCAAUCCACCAACAGCCAAUUGAAUGGAAACGCUGUGAAGUAUCACGGCUGGGGCAGGAUGUUUGCCGGCAUGUGCAAGACUGAGUCAAGAAGAAAUAAGACCCGGAGGAAGACAGUUGCAAGGGAGCUAGAAGAAAGCUGAGCAGUUGCACCUUCAGCAGCAGAAAAACCAUCAGAGAGACAGAGAGGGUCGCUGGUCCCAAGAUGACCGGCUCCUGUCCUCUCUGAGGCUCCUGGUUCGUUUUUGCUUUCCUCAGAUUUUUUGAUCUUUAUGUUAAACCUUCGUUUUACUUGUGCUAUUUCCAGCAUGUUUCUUUUUCCUGCAAUCAAAAGAACUCUGACUAGAACACAGCGUUGGUGACACAGAGGCAAAAUGGUUGCUUUCAUACGUGUGGAGGCCAGUGUCAGACACCUUAAAAAAGCAGAUUCAGCAAUUCUACAUCUUGUUCUUGAUGCUCAGGAUAAAAUCGCAGAACUGGAUGGGACAUAUCACUUCAUUGAGUGUUCACCACGUGUACUGAUGCUUUACACAUCAAAUCAUUUUAUCCUCACAACAAACGGAGAUUAGAAAAUUCCUAUGCUUGUUCUAUAGAUGAAGAAAUUGACGCACCAAGAAGCAUGGCAGAGACAGGGUUGCUCAUCCAACAUUCUACCUGCUCCCCCACACUUCCCAGCCCCUUACCCUUGGGCAAGGCCAGAGGCGCUGGCAGAGUAAAGCCUGUGUGUGAUUCUCCAGCUCUUCUCUUCCCCUGCAUGGUGCCCAGAAAGGCAGUGCCCACACAGGGCGGUGG
rnacentral:lncRNA from 1 species